rnacentral:lncRNA from 1 species
UUUUUUUUUUUUUUUUUUUUUUUUUUUUUGCGACAGCGGCGAUAGCACCACUCCCUCAAGAAAUUACAUUCUUCUCCAAUUGACUCAUUUCAAUUGGAGAAGGACAAACAUUAUAUGUUCUCAUUCAUUUGGGGAAUAUAAAUAAUAGUGAAAGGGAAUGAAGGGAAGGGAGAAGAAAUGGGUAGGAAAUAUCAGAAAGAGAGACAGAACAUAAAGACUCCUAACUCGGGAUCCCUGGGUGGCGCAGCGGUUUAGCGCCUGCCUUUGGCCCAGGGCGCGAUCCUGGAGACACAGGAUCGAAUCCCACGUCGGGCUCCUGGUGCAUGGAGCCUGCUUCUCCCUCUGCCUAUGUCUCUGUCUCUGUCUCUCUCUCUCUCUCUCUGUGACUAUAAAUAAAUAAAUUAAUUAAUUAAAAAAAAAAGACUCCUAACUCUGAGAAACGAACUAGGGGUGGUGGAAGGGGAGGAGGGCGGGGAGUGGGGGUGAAUGAGUGACGGGCACUGAGGGGGGCACUUGACGGGAUGAGCACUGGGUGUUAUUCUGUAUGUUGGCAAAUUGAACACCAAUAAAAAAUAAAUUUAUUAUUAAAAAAAAAAGAAAUUACAUUCUUGAUCACAUUCAAACCACAAUCAUGGGGACACUGGGUUUCCUUGAAACAUCUGCAGAUAAAAGAAGCAAAAAUCACAGUAGAUGUGAAGGCAGCCUCCAACAUAGCCUGCUUCUUGAUAUUUGUGCCCUUGUGUAGUUCCCCGACACACUGUAUUAGAGUUGGCCUGUGUGACCAACAGAAUACAGCAGAAGGGAUGGUAUACCAUCACCUCUACUCCUAAGAAGUUAAGUAGCUCAAGAUUUUCUAGGCUCUAUUGUUCUCUCAAGGUCAUGUUUUUAUGUGACCAGAUGGGUUCUAAAUCUUUCUAGGAAUUACGUCCUAUAAUAACAAUUAUAUGUUGAUCAUUUCUUUUGUAAAGCUUUAGUGCAAAAACUUAUAUGUGCACAAAAUUUCUCAUUUCUUCAUUUGUCAAAAAUCAAAUUAAUUUGGUUCCUGUUACCAGACAGGUGAGAAAUCUAACCUCAGUUAUCACUGAAGCUUCCUCCUCUCCAUCUUUUAGCAUCUGCCCAUGGUCUUAUUCAUUGCCAGAGCAAUGGAGAGGGCCUCUGGCCUUCUGUUUCUACCCUGACCCUUUUCAUUCUUAUUGUAUGAUACCGUAGCACAAUUUUUCAGGCCCAAGCUGGGCCAUGUACUUGCAGUGAUGGGAGGAAAACCAAGGAGAGAACAAACACUAUACAAUAUCUCAACAAAUCAUCCAGUGGCAGGCAGUCAGAGAACAAAUUAAAUGUUAGGAAAAACAGAAAAGAAGUAAGCAACAUGGUACCAGCCUUUGGGUUUCUUAAACACUCAACGGGAAAUGCAAAGUGCAGAAACAAUAAACCAAGGAAUAACAAAGUAGGGCAUUUUAAAAUGUACCAUUUCAAUUGCAAAGGCUGAAGAAAUCAACAGAAGGAAAUGACCAGAGUGGAGUGGGUUGAAUAAUAAUGAUAAUAAUAAUAAUAAUAAUUAUAUAUAUAUUAUAUAUAUAUAUAUAUAUAUAUAUAUAUAUAAAAUCCCUCACAUUUGUAUGUAUAUGUUAUGAGGGACUUUCCCCACAUUUAUAAUUUCAUUUGAGAUCCUCUUUAAAAUGAGGUUGGCAGGACAGGAGUUAACAGCUUAAUUUUACAGAUGAGGAAACUGGGACUCAGCUAGCUUUGUGGCUUGUUCAGUGUCACAGAGCUGAUUAGUAGAGAAACAGAAAACUGAGCUCAGCUCUCUUUCUACCUAGUCCUUUCUCUGGCUCCUCUUCCACGUCCAUUGUGAAUUGGUCCCUGAAGGUAAGUUUAAGAGCAGGUUGGAGUUCUCUACAUGGACAAAGAAAAGAGGCAUCCAAGAGUGGCAUGGAGUGCAGGUGGCCAUGGGAGAGCAUGAAAAUAUAUAAGAAGGAAAUGAUCAAGUAGGUAGAUGGUUCUGGAUAUAAAAUAGAAAAACCAGGGUGUGAAAUGCUGAAAGAAUGCCAAGUGGUGACUAAGGGAACCAUUGAUCUUAGAUGGAAAAUUCUCCCCUCCCACCCCCUGACUAAGAAAUUUAUCUCCUACAUCUCUUCAAACUGAAGAAACAUAAAGAAAACACCAGUAUCUUCAUGCAGUAUAUCAUCCAGUGCAUGCAUACAAUCUCUCUUGGGCCAUUUCUAAAUCUUAGUCAUA